CAUUACAGAGUUCGUGCCCUCCGGGGUAGAUCUCCCACCCGUGACAUCUCACACCUUUGUUGCUUUGGCGGGCAGCUGCCCGCCAGAGGCCUCAACUCCGUAUUUCAGUGUCGUCAGAGGACUAUUUAAUAGUUAAAACUUUCAACAACGGAUCUCUUGGUUCUGGCAUCGAUGAAGAACGCAGCGAAAUGCGAUAAGUAAUGUGAAUUGCAGAAUUUAGUGAAUCAUCGAAUCUUUGAACGCACAUUGCGCCCUAUGGCAUUCCGUAGGGCAUGCCUGUUCGAGCGUCAUUACAACCCUCAAGCGUGGCUUGGUCUUGGGCCCGCCCUCUGGGCGGGCCCCAAAUACAGUGGCAGUGCUUUCAGGCCCUGAGCGUAGUACAUCUUCCGCUAUGGGGCCUUGGGAGUGGCGAGCCAGCAACUUAUUCCUACAGGUUGACCUCGG
rnacentral:rRNA from 1 species